rnacentral:rRNA from 1 species
GGACUCGCACAAGCGGUGGAGCAUGCGGUUUAAUUCGAUGCAACGCGAAGAACCUUACCAGGUCUUGACAUCUGAUUGCCAGGACUAGAGAUAGUCCCUUUCUUCGGAACAAUCAAGACAGGUGGUGCAUGGUUGUCGUCAGCUCGUGUCGUGAGAUGUUGGGUUAAGUCCCGCAACGAGCGCAACCCUUAUCAUUAGUUGCUAACAUUAAGUUGAGCACUCUAAUGAGACCGCCGGUGAUAAACCGGAUGAAGGUGGGGAUGACGUCAAAUCAUCAUGCCCCUUAAGACCUGGGCUACACGCGUGCUACAAUGGCUGGUACAAAGAGUCGCAAUACCGCGAGGUGGAGCUAAUCUCGUAAAGCCAGUCUCAGUUCGGAUUGUAGUCUGCAACUCGACUACAUGAAGUUGGAAUCGCUAGUAAUCGUGAAUCAGAAUGUCACGGUGAAUACGUUCUCGAGUCUU